UACGUAGGGGGCAAGCGUUGUCCGGAUUUAUUGGGCGUAAAGGGCGCGUAGGCGGCCAGUGCAAGUCAGUUGUGAAAUCUCCGAGCUUAACUCGGAAAGGUCAACUGAUACUGCUCGGCUAGAGUGCGGAAGGGGCAACUGGAAUUCUUGGUGUAGCGGUGAAAUGCGUAGAUAUCAAGAGGAACACCUGCGGCGAAGGCGGGUUGCUGGGCCGACACUGACGCUGAAGUGCGAAAGCUAGGGGAGCGAACGGG
rnacentral:rRNA from 1 species